AGCCUACGGGGCGCAGCAGUGGGGGAUAUUGCACAAUGGGGGGAACCCUGAUGCAGCGACGCCGCGUGUGGGAAGACGGUCCUCUGGAUUGUAAACCACUGUCCCCAGGGACGAAAAUGACGGUACCUGGGGAGGAAGCUCCGGCUAACUACGUGCCAGCAGCCGCGGUAAUACGUAGGGAGCGAGCGUUGUCCGGAAUUACUGGGUGUAAAGGAAGCGUAGGCGGGGAUGCAAGUUGGGUGUCAAAACUACCGGCUCACAUGGUAGUCGCACUCAAAACUGCAGCGCUUGAGUGAAGUAGAGGG
rnacentral:rRNA from 1 species